rnacentral:rRNA from 1 species
UACGUAGGGUGCAAGCGUUGUCCGGAAUUAUUGGGCGUAAAGAGCUCGUAGGCGGUUCACUAAGUCGGGUGUGAAACCUCCAGGCUCAACCUGGAGACGCCACCUGAUACUGGUGUGACUAGAGUCCGGUAGGGGAGUGUGGAACUCCUGGUGUAGCGGUGAAAUGCGCAGAUAUCAGGAAGAACACCAGCGGCGAAGGCGGCACUCUGGGCCGGUACUGACGCUGAGGAGCGAAAGCGUGGGUAGCAAACAGG